rnacentral:lncRNA from 1 species
UCUCCUCCGCCUAGCUUUUCUGCCUCUUCCGUCAUAAAGAUUUUCUGCCUCGUCCUCCACGCUCCGCCAUCGGCAACGAGGAGACCACCGAUUCUCCACGCCACCACCUUCAGUUGUCACAUAUUUUUUCUUCAAUUUUUGUUCAUUUCUUUUAAUCUAGGAAAUCAUAGAACACAAAUAUUCUUUAUUAAAUCUGAGAAGAAACAAUAAGGAACAAAUACUCUCAAUAUUUUGUUCUCCUUCGUUUCUUUUUGAGAAAAUUGAAAAAAAUAGA